rnacentral:rRNA from 1 species
AUAAGAUGAUUUAUUUGUUAAAUAAUUUUUUUAGUAUUAAAAUAAGAAUAUUUAUGUUUUACUAUUUUUUUGGAACAAAUUUUUUUUAAUUAUAGUUAAUUAGUAUUGUGAGAGAAUGUUUUUGUAAUUUAAAAAAGAAUAAUUUAUUUUUUGUACCUUGUGUAUCAGGGUUUAUUAAAAUAUAUUAACUACAUAAUUUUCCCGAAUUUAGAAGAGCAAGGUUCGUUAUCUAUUUUGUUGUGUCAUAAACAUUUUAAAUAAGAACUUAGAGGUGAAAUUCCAUUCGUUUCUAAAUAUAUCUGGUUCCCAGAGAAAUAGAUUUAAUCUAGACAUUUUGUUUAAAUUUUUUAAUUUAAAGAAAUAAUUUAAAUUCUUGUUUAAUAGUCUAAGGGAUGAGCUUUAGACUAGAUUUUUAUAAACAAAAUUAUUUUCAAAUUUAAAUAGGAUUAGAAGCUUCCAUUUUUAUAAGAGCGUUAUAGCUAUAAUUGGUUAAAUUUAUUUUUAUAUAAUUGUUUUAAGUUUUUUAUUGGGGUUUAUUUUUGAAUAUUAAAAGAUUAGGAAUAAUGAUGGAAUUAGUAUAUAUGGUUUUAUCCUUAUAUUUAUUUGACAGAUUAGGUAAAGGAAUUCGGCAAAAGAUUUUUCACCUGUUUAUUAAAAACAUGGCCUUUUGUUUAAAAUAUAAGGUCUAGCCUGCCCACUGAGUUAUUAAAUGGCUGCGGUAACCUGACCGUGCAAAGGUAGCAUAAUCAUUAGUUUUUUAAUUGAAAGCUGGAAUGAAUGGCUGGAUGAGAAAAUAACUGUCUCUACCUAAAUUUAGAAUUUUACCUUUAAGUUAAAAGGCUUAAAUUAGAUUAAAAGACGAGAAGACCCUAUAGAGUUUUAUAGAAAACAAAUACUUGAAUUUUUAGGAUUUUUAUCUUGGGUGUUUAGAUCUAUUUGGUUGGGGCGAUCAAAAAAUUUAGUUAACUUUUUUUGUGUUAAAACAUUAAUUUAUGAAAAAAAGAUCCAUUAUUAGUGAUUUUAAGAUAAAAUUACCUUAGGGAUAACAGCGUAAUCUUUUUUUAGAGAUCAAAUCGAAAGAAGGGUUUGCGACCUCGAUGUUGGAUUAAAAUAAAUUUUUGGUGUAGAAGCUAAAAAAUUAGGUCUGUUCGACCUUUAAAAUUUUACAUGAUCUGAGUUUAGACCGGCGUGAGCCAGGUUGGUUUCUAUCUUUAAUAAAAAAUAAUACUUCAGUACGAAAGGACCAGGUGUUAGGCUUUGAGCUUUAAUUUAUGAAUAUUAAU